AACUAGAAAUGACAAAUAUGAGUUGAAGUUACUCCUUUAAUGCAUGUAAAGAAAUGUCUUCAUCCGUGAAAGAUUUUGUCAAACUAUGAUUGAUGUUUAAGGACUUUAUUAUAUUGCUCUAGAAAUUGACUUUUAAGAUGUUAGCAUGAAAGCAUCGAACUAACAAAAUUGGGUUACAAGAGGAGCAGUUGGAUAGUUGAGACAUGAAAUGUGUAUUCUCAUUCUGUAUCCAGGUAUGUGUUUCUUUCUCUAAACAUGUAUAUGACAAAUGUUCAUGACCAUGGAUUAAUUUGUAGAUACACAAGGUAUGGUUACAGGUUAUAUGUUGUGGUUACAAGUCUUUAUGUAGGAUAUGGAUUCAUAUAUGUGGUUAAACCCUUAAGUGAAAUGGAUAAAGAGAAGGGAUGGAAGCGAUAAGUAAAAUUAAUCUAUUCUUUCGCUAAUAAGGUUUCGAGGACGAAACCUUUAUAAGGUGGGUAGAUUUGUAACAUCCUAUUCUCGGGUGAAAUUGUAAUAUGAUAUUUUACUAUCGGUAAAGACUUGUUUUAAGAGUAAAGAAUUUGAUGAGUAAAAAAAUUUAGCACAUUAUAUUUUUAUUAUAAUGUUGGGAAAAAUGACGAGUUCGGUUCAGAGUAAUAUAUACCGGCAUACCGUUACAUCAUCUUGUGACUCACCCAAACUUGAGGGGUCAUUGUUGUAACAAAUCAAACUUAAGGGGGAAUGUAUUGUAGUUCUCACAUUUUUUAAUGUAUAAAAGUCAUUCAUGGCUCAUUAGUUGCAAAAAAAAAGGUUUAUUUUCUGGAUUUAGAGAGAGAGAAGGGAGGUGCGGCGGUCGGUGACCGACGGUGGUCCGGGUGUGGCGAGUGAUGGUGGUCCUGCUACCCUUAAUUUUUAUCUGGAACCAUUUCUCGACAUCCCAAACUCUAUGGACUGGAAUUGAAGAAAAAGGGAAUUACGCUCGGUAGCAUCUAACAAGAAGUCAACGGGUCAGAAAGGGGAUUCGAAGUAUAGCUAAUCCUACAGGCAAAGGAUUAUGGCGUAGUGAUCAUAUUGGAUUAAACAUUGAUUUCUCUACUAUUGGUAAUGCAAAAGAAUCGCUAGAUGAUAUUUAACCUUUAGAAUGAUUAAAGUAACAAGUGAUGAUAGAUGGCUACAUAUGUUGCCUUUGGGAUUUUAAAAUGGUAUGCUAUCUAUCUUGUUGUUAAUGAGACUUAUAUUAUAUAUUGUUUAGAUUCAACUUUGUUGUAUAAUGUAAGGUACAAGGUAUGAAAUGGGAAGUAUUUCUUCUACAAUGUUGCGAACUCAUGCCUUCCUGCAAAUAUGAAGAUUGGCAGUACCUAGAAAAAAAAAUGUUGAGUCUUAAUGGCAUGUUAAGGAAUUAUGAUUCGACCUUUUUUUGUGUGCAAACGAUUGUUAAUAAUGUGGUUGGUGGUAAGAGUUUGGAAUAUUAACAAGGCAAAAUUAUUAUUAGAACUAUGAGUUUUAACUCCAUUGCUGAUGAUCAUGUUGACUAGAAGCAGGUUUGAGAAGUACGAGACUGACUCAUUUUAAAAACCGAAAAUCGUGUACAAGUGUUGUAGGUGGCGUAGCCUACACUAUAUUCAGCAUAGGUCACACCGAUGCUAGUUGUUACCAUGAUGGGUUUCUGGUCUAUGUUGCGUGUUACAAUGGGAUGUCUACGCUAGGUCGGCGAAGGCUUCCUCGAUUCCGAUGUAGUUUACAUCAGGGAUUGUUCCAAGUUCAAGAUUUUGGUGUUUGAGAUCAAACUUACAAGUUUGAUUAUCAUAUGAUCUCAAUCUAAUUAAUACUAACAUGUCGUUUUGUGAUGUCGUAGGUAAAACUCAUGGAUAGAUUCUAAAGUUGAGGAUCAAGUGCUCAGGAUGAAUUACGAACAUCACAUAGUUGAGUUUAUAUCUUAUAAAGUUUUUAGUGGUCAUUUUGUUUAGUAAUGGGUUACGAAUCUAAACUUAUUAGAUCAUAUUGUUCUUUUUUUCUAAAAAGAGCAGUGUUGUUCAUAUCUAAAUGAUGAAGACAAGUUCAUAUAAUGUCAUUAGACAGAAAAAAAUUUUGGGACCUACUUUUUCCGCAAUUAAAAUAUAAAUUUUGGUCAUUUUAAAUUUAGAGUGUUACAAGUUGGUAUCAGAGCCCUGGUUUGAGAGAAUCAAGUAAUAGAAGGUAAAUGCUUGAACUCAAACCGGUGUGCUCUCGUAAUCAAGAACCCGUACAAUCCAAGACUCGAUCGAGGCCUAAAUGCAAAGGCGAAUGUAAGCAUGUAUUAGAUUAUGUACUUGAAGGAAACUAAUAGUGUGUUAUGUGCAAGGUAAGCUUAAGAGCGUGAAGAGGAUGAUCCGUGAAUACAGAAUAGGAUGAACGCUAAGGCGGGCAAUGGUGCAAAUAGGCAAAUUAACCCCAGGUACACACUACUAAUAUGUAUGAGUACCGAUGUCAAAAGAAAAAGGAAGGGGUCUCCUUGGGAGGGAAAUUAUUAAACGAAAGACAAUGAUGUGGUCUUGGGGAAGUUUUAGAAAUGUGCACGAAACUGAAACCCAUUUCUCGGGCAUAAGGCGAUGAUUACACGAAGGCACGAAACUAGUGUGUGAAUUGCGCACCUGGCCAGUACGCAAGAAGCAUAUGACGUUCGUGAGACCGUGGCAAUUAUUGCAGGUAUGUCCGGUAGAACUGGGUAGCAGGUGGGCGCUAUGUUGUAGCGAAUGCGAAAUAGCAAAUCCAUUGCGGAUUUGGUUAUGCUAACGAAGGUUAUGAAAAGUUAUGCGAGUCGACCGGUUCUAGCGAACAAGUCGAAUAAGAAUAAGCUACCAUCCGUUUUGAACGGGUGAUUUUGAAUGCUCUAAUGAAUGUUAGAAGCUUAAUCCGUUAUACGGAUUGAAAGAAGAGGUUAUGAUUAAAUGCGAAAAACCCAAUUAUUUGGGUAGUGGAAUAUGUAUGCUUAACUCUCAUUGAGAGUGUUUAUGCCAAACCCAAUUAUUUGGGUAGUCGAAUGUGUAUGCUUAACUCUCUUUGAGAGUGUUUAUGCCGAAACCCAAUUAUUUGGGUAGUCGAAUGUGUAUGCUUAACUCUCUUUGAGAGUGUUUAUGCCAAACCCAAUUAUUUGGGUAGUCGAAUGUGUAUGCUUAACUCUCUUUGAGAGUGUUUAUGCCGAAACCCAAUUAUUUGGGUAGUCGAAUGUGUAUGCUUAACUCUCUUUGAGAGUGUUUAUGCCGAAACCCAAUUAUUUGGGUAGUCGAAUGUGUAAGAAAGAAGAAA